UUUUUUUAACUAAGAAGUGUCUUCAGUCAUCAUAGUCUUUUAUUUCACCUCUCUGUCAGAGUGCAAAUGCAUGGAUCUUAAGGCAUAUCAAGGUUUAAGACUAGAUUAAUGUGUGAAUAAUGUUAUACCAAAGUGAUUUUAUGCCUGGAAAAAAGAUAAUGCUAAAAUUAUCAAACAUUUAAAAAAUGCAGCAUGGCAUUAUUGGCGAGCUUCCUGAUUUGCUUCAUGUUAGUUAAAUAAGGCAACGUUUAACCAGUCAAAUUUUUCUCAUACAACCCAACAUUAUUUGGAGUGACCAUAGCAAACUCCAAGAAGUUCCUAUACCCAGUAUUAUCGCAGAAGGAGGAAAUUCGGUGUCAAUGUUUUUCAUGCAUAAACAAACAUAAUAUUAUAAAAUCCAUGUUGCCACAUUUCAAUACAUCUUAUAAACUGCUGCCAGAUAAAUCUCUCAAAAACACAGUUCUGAUGCUGUCACUCAUCUCACCAAGAGCAUUUAAUAGCAGGUUCUCAGCUAAAAGGAAACCUCUCUGGGAGACCCUGAAGCAGCCUUCAUUCAACCUUGCUCUAAAAUAUCUAAAAUGGCUCAGAAAAAUGGAAUAGUGGCAAUAUAAAAGAUCAAGACUGAUGGUCAAAAGACUGUCAUGUUUUAAAAGACAUUUCUAGUUAUUCUAAAGAUAAUGCACUUGGGGUGAAAAAAAAAAAAAACACUCGUUGCUUACUAUGCUUUACUCAAAGAAAUGCAUCAGCAAAUGCUGGCCGUCUGAAGGAAGGUAGGAAGAUAGUCCAUUCCUCUCUGUUUGCCCAAUGAACUCAGACCUGGGAAGGAGUUCAGCUUUCUGCUAGGUUCUCAGAAACUUGUUGAGCACAGUAUGUAGUAUUAAGCAGCCACAUGUAAGUUGGCAUAAAGCCCUGCUGUAGAGCAGUCUUUCUACUCUGCAACCCUUCUUGAGACAUGCUGUGCAGAAGACAGUAUGCAUACCAGGAACAAAACAGGUCAUGCUUCCUGACUCCUACUCACUAACUCCAUGACCUUGGGUGUCUUUGUGCCUCAGUCCUACGUCUAAAAUGGGAAUAAUAAGAGUGAAAGCACUACUUCAUCGAGAAGUAAGUGAGUUGAUUUUAUUAUUAAGGCAAUUUUUAGCUCAACACAAAAUAUAGCCACAGAGGAUUUUCUUAAUGCUUUGAAGAAAUAUUUUUUUAAGGCCAUACUUAAUCUUAAAACAAAUUCCUUUACUCCUCCCUGUACCAAGAGUCCCAGAGUGGUCGAAAUAAUCCGAAUUCUGCUAUCUCAGAGGAGAGGGAUAAACCACUUCCACACAACUGAGGCAGGCAUUUGGGCAGAGGACAUGCUGAAGGAAAGUUAAUAUUGACCAAGGGAGGAGGCAACGGGCAGAGAGGAGGGAACAGAACAAUGUCCACGUGGCUGAAAUAAAGGAUAUGACAGAGGAUUGGUGCAAGUUAAAGAUGGAAGUGGAGAUCUGUGGAGAAGGGCCUUGCAAGGAAGAGAACUUCAAGACUUUGAUUCCAAGUUUCUCCAUUUGUGUAAGCUGCAGAGUAGUCAUUGGCUUUCCCCUGUUAGAGAGUUGGCUUCCAUCACAUUUAGUCUAAAUCCCUGCAGACUUCUAGUUCCAAGCAUCUUAUAAAUACUACACUAAUGAAUUCUGCAACUCCAUUUCUUUUCAGUAUUUCUGUUUAAACUAUACUAAAUUCUUACCACUUAGCUUGUUACAAUAUGCCUGUAAGAUGAUUUAACUAUAUUGGUUUUCAAAAAUAAACUAAAU